rfam:Myotis davidii contig40306, whole genome shotgun sequence.
AAUAAAAAUGUAUAUCUGGUGCUCGCUUUGGCAGCUUACAGAGGAGAUUAGCGUGCCCCCUGCACAAGGAUGACACACAAAUUCAUGAAGCGUUCCAUAUUUGA